UACGUAGGGUGCUAGCGUUAAUCGGAAUUACUGGGCGUAAAGCGUGCGCAGGCGGCUAUGCAAGACAGAUGUGAAAUCCCCGGGCUCAACCUGGGAACUGCAUUUGUGACUGCAUGGCUAGAGUACGGUAGAGGGGGAUGGAAUUCCGCGUGUAGCAGUGAAAUGCGUAGAUAUGCGGAGGAACACCGAUGGCGAAGGCAAUCCCCUGGACCUGUACUGACGCUCAUGCACGAAAGCGUGGGGAGCAAACAGG
rnacentral:rRNA from 1 species